AUCGACAGCCCCUCUUCCUCCCUCCAUAACCACUUUCUUCACAAAUCCCAUCUUUAUUGAUGAAUUGAUGAAGCAAUUGCAUGAUUGGAUUAUUUUGGAGGGGGUGUUGUUGCACAUAGAAUUCUAGUUGACUCCUCCACAUGCAAAUACCCGUCGAACGUAUCGGUCGUUUGCUCGGUAGCAAGUUGUCGGAUGGCACAAGUACAAUUCUGCAACGCCGAGAGACUUUGCCGACUGGUUGCGUCUGUACGUACGUGAUUGGAAGUAUUCAACACUGGCGGACAAUGUGUUGACAAUACGCAAAAACAAGCGUUUUGACAUGCGGAAACGGCGCUGGAAGUAAUCUGCCAGAAAUCGAGGCUCGUCGGAAAAUAGUCGCGAAUGAGCCUUUCAUGGGCUCCCACCCGGUCAUGAGGGAUGUAACAGCGAUUUGAUCUCGUUGAUCGAGGAGAAGGGCGGGUGGCAACGCUACAUAGGCUUCAUAGGCGGCACAAUAUUGUUGAUAGAAUUCUUGUUCUUCGCGCUGCGCUUCAGCAAUGAUCUCGUUCGGAUCUAUUUUUGAAUUUAGAGUGUUUGAGUGAGGGAGGAAGAUGUAGAUUUGUUGUAUGGAAAAAUAUUAGAGAAGUAUGAGUGAAGAUAAUAUGAUAUAACAAAUGGAUGAUAAAUGUGCGUAUUUAUAGACGAUUUUGGGAUUAAAAAAAUUCAAAAAAAAAUUCAAAAAAAGGGUAAUAAAAUGGCUAUAUUUUUUGGGAAUCCGAAAAUAUAUAUUUUUUUAUUUUAAGGAUUAUUUUUAUUUAAAAAAAAGAAAUUCCAGCGAAAAUUCUGUUGGCGAAUAAGAUGGCGCCACCAUGUCAGUGUGCUCUUCGGCACAACGGUACUAUUGCUAUCGAGUAGGGCCAUGCUGUCGGCAAGAGCACAACGGCGAGCAGGGUACUCGCCGCGCCGAUGGCACGAAGGGUGCUCUUAGUCAAGAGCAUCACUGCAGAUGCUCUAAAUCAAUGUUGCAAAAUAAUUACCUGAUUAAAACCUGCAAGCUUAAUAAUAAUAAUACUGAUGAUAGAAAUAAUAGAAAAAUGCAGUAAAAGCUGCAAAUGUCCAAGGUGCAGUGGCCUCAGUUCAAGCCGAGUUUUCAGGCAGUUUUGAAGUCUAAUCAGUUAUUAAUGCAUACCAUUCCCUUCGUCUUCAAAAUAGCUUCGAGUGGAUAGCUUGCACGUCUCAAUCGGAGUUCUGUGGAGAGUUAUGACUAAUUCAACGAACAUUGCGCAGUGCAGUCAAAGCUGACAGACAUUAGACGGAAAUUCUAGGAAUGAAGAAAUUAUUGCCCAAAUCUCUCCUAUUAAUUAAAGGAGUCGAAAAUAUCAUAUUUUCUAUUAUUGGAGGAAAUUUUUUACCAUGUCUAAACCUUUUUCUAGCCUAUAAAUACCCAUAACCUAAUUCAUGUCAUACAUCUCAGAGUCUCAAAUCCUUUUCCCCUUUUACACAUUCUUCCAUUCCAUUUUCCAAAAAUAAUUCAUCCAUCGUCCAUUGGAGCUAUGCUGAUCCAGGCAAGAGAAGAGUAAAGAUUGAAGAUUCAACCUUGGGUUUUAUCAAUUUCUUUCAUGUCUUGUACUUUUAUUGUUUUUACUGCUUGUCUAUGAGUAGUUAAACUUCCUUUGUAGAUUGUUUGGUGAAGACUAUUAUGAACAUGCUUUGAUUUAUUGAAUUGAACCUUUUCCA